rnacentral:rRNA from 1 species
GGGUUGUGAGGUUAAGCGACUAAGCGUACACGGUGGAUGCCCUGGCAGUCAGAGGCGAUGAAGGACGUGCUAAUCUGCGAUAAGCGUCGGUAAGGUGAUAUGAACCGUUAUAACCGGCGAUUUCCGAAUGGGGAAACCCAGUGUGAUUCGUCACACUAUCAUUAACUGAAUCCAUAGGUUAAUGAGGCGAACCGGGGGAACUGAAACAUCUAAGUACCCCGAGGAAAAGAAAUCAACCGAGAUUCCCCCAGUAGCGGCGAGCGAACGGGGAGCAGCCCAGAGCCUGAAUCAGUGUGUGUGUUAGUGGAAGCGUCUGGAAAGGCGCGCGAUACAGGGUGACAGCCCCGUACACAAAAAUGCACAUGCUGUGAGCUCGAUGAGUAGGGCGGGACACGUGGUAUCCUGUCUGAAUAUGGGGGGACCAUCCUCCAAGGCUAAAUACUCCUGACUGACCGAUAGUGAACCAGUACCGUGAGGGAAAGGCGAAAAGAACCCCGGCGAGGGGAGUGAAAAAGAACCUGAAACCGUGUACGUACAAGCAGUGGGAGCACGCUUAGGCGUGUGACUGCGUACCUUUUGUAUAAUGGGUCAGCGACUUAUAUUCUGUAGCAAGGUUAACCGAAUAGGGGAGCCGAAGGGAAACCGAGUCUUAACUGGGCGUUAAGUUGCAGGGUAUAGACCCGAAACCCGGUGAUCUAGCCAUGGGCAGGUUGAAGGUUGGGUAACACUAACUGGAGGACCGAACCGACUAAUGUUGAAAAAUUAGCGGAUGACUUGUGGCUGGGGGUGAAAGGCCAAUCAAACCGGGAGAUAGCUGGUUCUCCCCGAAAGCUAUUUAGGUAGCGCCUCGUGAAUUCAUCUCCGGGGGUAGAGCACUGUUUCGGCAAGGGGGUCAUCCCGACUUACCAACCCGAUGCAAACUGCGAAUACCGGAGAAUGUUAUCACGGGAGACACACGGCGGGUGCUAACGUCCGUCGUGAAGAGGGAAACAACCCAGACCGCCAGCUAAGGUCCCAAAGUCAUGGUUAAGUGGGAAACGAUGUGGGAAGGCCCAGACAGCCAGGAUGUUGGCUUAGAAGCAGCCAUCAUUUAAAGAAAGCGUAAUAGCUCACUGGUCGAGUCGGCCUGCGCGGAAGAUGUAACGGGGCUAAACCAUGCACCGAAGCUGCGGCAGCGACGCUUAUGCGUUGUUGGGUAGGGGAGCGUUCUGUAAGCCUGUGAAGGUGUACUGUGAGGUAUGCUGGAGGUAUCAGAAGUGCGAAUGCUGACAUAAGUAACGAUAAAGCGGGUGAAAAGCCCGCUCGCCGGAAGACCAAGGGUUCCUGUCCAACGUUAAUCGGGGCAGGGUGAGUCGACCCCUAAGGCGAGGCCGAAAGGCGUAGUCGAUGGGAAACAGGUUAAUAUUCCUGUACUUGGUGUUACUGCGAAGGGGGGACGGAGAAGGCUAUGUUGGCCGGGCGACGGUUGUCCCGGUUUAAGCGUGUAGGCUGGUUUUCCAGGCAAAUCCGGAAAAUCAAGGCUGAGGCGUGAUGACGAGGCACUACGGUGCUGAAGCAACAAAUGCCCUGCUUCCAGGAAAAGCCUCUAAGCAUCAGGUAACAUCAAAUCGUACCCCAAACCGACACAGGUGGUCAGGUAGAGAAUACCAAGGCGCUUGAGAGAACUCGGGUGAAGGAACUAGGCAAAAUGGUGCCGUAACUUCGGGAGAAGGCACGCUGAUAUGUAGGUGAAGUCCCUCGCGGAUGGAGCUGAAAUCAGUCGAAGAUACCAGCUGGCUGCAACUGUUUAUUAAAAACACAGCACUGUGCAAACACGAAAGUGGACGUAUACGGUGUGACGCCUGCCCGGUGCCGGAAGGUUAAUUGAUGGGGUUAGCGCAAGCGAAGCUCUUGAUCGAAGCCCCGGUAAACGGCGGCCGUAACUAUAACGGUCCUAAGGUAGCGAAAUUCCUUGUCGGGUAAGUUCCGACCUGCACGAAUGGCGUAAUGAUGGCCAGGCUGUCUCCACCCGAGACUCAGUGAAAUUGAACUCGCUGUGAAGAUGCAGUGUACCCGCGGCAAGACGGAAAGACCCCGUGAACCUUUACUAUAGCUUGACACUGAACAUUGAGCCUUGAUGUGUAGGAUAGGUGGGAGGCUUUGAAGUGUGGACGCCAGUCUGCAUGGAGCCGACCUUGAAAUACCACCCUUUAAUGUUUGAUGUUCUAACGUUGACCCGUGAUCCGGGUUGCGGACAGUGUCUGGUGGGUAGUUUGACUGGGGCGGUCUCCUCCUAAAGAGUAACGGAGGAGCACGAAGGUUGGCUAAUCUGGUCGGACAUCAGGAGGUUAGUGCAAUGGCAUAAGCCAGCUUGACUGCGAGCGUGACGGCGCGAGCAGGUGCGAAAGCAGGUCAUAGUGAUCCGGUGGUUCUGAAUGGAAGGGCCAUCGCUCAACGGAUAAAAGGUACUCCGGGGAUAACAGGCUGAUACCGCCCAAGAGUUCAUAUCGACGGCGGUGUUUGGCACCUCGAUGUCGGCUCAUCACAUCCUGGGGCUGAAGUAGGUCCCAAGGGUAUGGCUGUUCGCCAUUUAAAGUGGUACGCGAGCUGGGUUUAGAACGUCGUGAGACAGUUCGGUCCCUAUCUGCCGUGGGCGCUGGAGAACUGAGGGGGGCUGCUCCUAGUACGAGAGGACCGGAGUGGACGCAUCACUGGUGUUCGGGUUGUCAUGCCAAUGGCACUGCCCGGUAGCUAAAUGCGGAAGAGAUAAGUGCUGAAAGCAUCUAAGCACGAAACUUGCCCCGAGAUGAGUUCUCCCUGACUCCUUGAGAGUCCUGAAGGAACGUUGAAGACGACGACGUUGAUAGGCCGGGUGUGUAAGCGCAGCGAUGCGUUGAGCUAACCGGUACUAAUGAACCGUGAGGCUUAACCUUACAACGCCGAAG